GUCAGGCUUUGCGGCAGUCACCGCCCAAGCUUCAGGUUGGGGAUCUCGAGCCCCUUCCUCAAGGUUGUUCCCCUGCUGUUUCCAACAUGGCAGGCAGGUUUAAUAGCCAUGGAUAAAAAGACCACACAGAGAAGUCCAGAAGAUGCCGGCGCCGGCAGAUACGGAGGUAAACAAGCAAAAAAGAAAAAACAAAAGCCAAAACAAAACCACCAACGAUCCCGCCACAAAUCAACAGCGUCUCACUCUUCGGAUGACGGUAUAUUUCCUUCCUCUUCUUGCACUUCGUCAGAAAGCCAGACAGAUUCAAGUUGUGAAGGUGCUGUCUGAAAUAUCCAUCAUCCUAUCUGGUCUUCUGGAAUUGAGUUACACCACCCGCCACUGACUGCCUAGACCUUCAGGGAUAAAAGAUGAUGAAACACUGAGAAAUGGAAAGAAAAGAAGGAAAGGACCACAUGCUGUCACCUUGUCAAGUCUCACGAGCUUCGUGUGUAAAGGUUUGCUCUCUGCCAUUUGUAUGUUCACAGAUGGGCUGAUGCGAUGCUGAACUUCCCAAUUUCUUAAAUUUAGCAGUUGUGGGGAAGAAGGCUGAACAGGGAAGCCGACCCAAGCCCCGUGACACCUGAAGAGACCCUGAAGAGCCCGGGAUCAGACACCUUUCACUGCCAGUCCACGCGCACAAACCUUGGUCUCCACGCCCUCUGUAACCACAAAAUAAAGAGUUGGGAAAUA